GGGUCAGCGACUUAUAUUCUGUAGCAAGGUUAACCGAAUAGGGGAGCCGAAGGGAAACCGAGUCUUAACUGGGCGUUAAGUUGCAGGGUAUAGACCCGAAACCCGGUGAUCUAGCCAUGGGCAGGUUGAAGGUUGGGUAACACUAACUGGAGGACCGAACCGACUAAUGUUGAAAAAUUAGCGGAUGACUUGUGGCUGGGGGUGAAAGGCCAAUCAAACCGGGAGAUAGCUGGUUCUCCCCGAAAGCUAUUUAGGUAGCGCCUCGUGAAUUCAUCUCCGGGGGUAGAGCACUGUUUCGGCAAGGGGGUCAUCCCGACUUACCAACCCGAUGCAAACUGCGAAUACCGGAGAAUGUUAUCACGGGAGACACACGGCGGGUGCUAACGUCCGUCGUGAAGAGGGAAACAACCCAGACCGCCAGCUAAGGUCCCAAAGUCAUGGUUAAGUGGGAAACGAUGUGGGAAGGCCCAGACAGCCAGGAUGUUGGCUUAGAAGCAGCCAUCAUUUAAAGAAAGCGUAAUAGCUCACUGGUCGAGUCGGCCUGCGCGGAAGAUGUAACGGGGCUAAACCAUGCACCGAAGCUGCGGCAGCGACACUGUGUGUUGUUGGGUAGGGGAGCGUUCUGUAAGCCUGUGAAGGUGUCUGUGAGGAUGCUGGAGGUAUCAGAAGUGCGAAUGCUGACAUAAGUAACGAUAAAGCGGGUGAAAAGCCCGCUCGCCGGAAGACCAAGGGUUCCUGUCCAACGUUAAUCGGGGCAGGGUGAGUCGACCCCUAAGGCGAGGCCGAAAGGCGUAGUCGAUGGGAAACAGGUUAAUAUUCCUGUACUUGGUGUUACUGCGAAGGGGGGACGGAGAAGGCUAUGUUGGCCGGGCGACGGUUGUCCCGGUUUAAGCGUGUAGGCUGGUUUUCCAGGCAAAUCCGGAAAAUCAAGGCUGAGGCGUGAUGACGAGGCACUACGGUGCUGAAGCAACAAAUGCCCUGCUUCCAGGAAAAGCCUCUAAGCAUCAGGUAACAUCAAAUCGUACCCCAAACCGACACAGGUGGUCAGGUAGAGAAUACCAAGGCGCUUGAGAGAACUCGGGUGAAGGAACUAGGCAAAAUGGUGCCGUAACUUCGGGAGAAGGCACGCUGAUAUGUAGGUGAAGUCCCUCGCGGAUGGAGCUGAAAUCAGUCGAAGAUACCAGCUGGCUGCAACUGUUUAUUAAAAACACAGCACUGUGCAAACACGAAAGUGGACGUAUACGGUGUGACGCCUGCCCGGUGCCGGAAGGUUAAUUGAUGGGGUCAGCGCAAGCGAAGCUCUUGAUCGAAGCCCCGGUAAACGGCGGCCGUAACUAUAACGGUCCUAAGGUAGCGAAAUUCCUUGUCGGGUAAGUUCCGACCUGCACGAAUGGCGUAAUGAUGGCCAGGCUGUCUCCACCCGAGACUCAGUGAAAUUGAACUCGCUGUGAAGAUGCAGUGUACCCGCGGCAAGACGGAAAGACCCCGUGAACCUUUACUAUAGCUUGACACUGAACAUUGAGCCUUGAUGUGUAGGAUAGGUGGGAGGCUUUGAAGUGUGGACGCCAGUCUGCAUGGAGCCGACCUUGAAAUACCACCCUUUAAUGUUUGAUGUUCUAACGUGGACCCGUGAUCCGGGUUGCGGACAGUGUCUGGUGGGUAGUUUGACUGGGGCGGUCUCCUCCUAAAGAGUAACGGAGGAGCACGAAGGUUGGCUAAUCCUGGUCGGACAUCAGGAGGUUAGUGCAAUGGCAUAAGCCAGCUUGACUGCGAGCGUGACGGCGCGAGCAGGUGCGAAAGCAGGUCAUAGUGAUCCGGUGGUUCUGAAUGGAAGGGCCAUCGCUCAACGGAUAAAAGGUACUCCGGGGAUAACAGGCUGAUACCGCCCAAGAGUUCAUAUCGACGGCGGUGUUUGGCACCUCGAUGUCGGCUCAUCACAUCCUGGGGCUGAAGUAGGUCCCAAGGGUAUGGCUGUUCGCCAUUUAAAGUGGUACGCGAGCUGGGUUUAGAACGUCGUGAGACAGUUCGGUCCCUAUCUGCCGUGGGCGCUGGAGAACUGAGGGGGGCUGCUCCUAGUACGAGAGGACCGGAGUGGACGCAUCACUGGUGUUCGGGUUGUCAUGCCAAUGGCACUGCCCGGUAGCUAAAUGCGGAAGAGAUAAGUGCUGAAAGCAUCUAAGCACGAAACUUGCCCCGAGAUGAGUUCUCCCUGACCCUUUAAGGGUCCUGAAGGAACGUUGAAGACGACGACGUUGAUAGGCCGGGUGUGUAAGCGCAGCGAUGCGUUGAGCUAACCGGUACUAAUGAACCGUGAGGCUUAACCU
rnacentral:rRNA from 1 species